GCCCCGUUCGUCUAGCGGCCCAGGACAUCGCCCUCUCACGGCGGUAACACCGGUUCAAAUCCGGUACGGGGUA
rnacentral:tRNA from 1 species